rnacentral:rRNA from 1 species
CCCAGACUCCUACGGGAGGCAGCAGUGAGGAAUAUUGGUCAAUGGGCGAGAGCCUGAACCAGCCAAGUCGCGUGAAGGAUGACGGCCCUACGGGUUGUAAACUUCUUUUGUCAGGGAGCAAUUGAGUCCACGUGUGGGCUUAGCGAGAGUACCUGAAGAAAAAGCAUCGGCUAACUCCGUGCCAGCAGCCGCGGUAAUACGGAGGAUGCGAGCGUUAUCCGGAUUUAUUGGGUUUAAAGGGUGCGUAGGCGGGAUAUCAAGUCAGGGGUAAAAAUGGGGGGCGCAACCCCGUCCGGCCGUGGAAACUGGGGGCCUUGAGUGGGCGAGAAGAGGGCGGAAUGCGUGG